CAGCCUGCAACUCCCCCCUCCAGAUACCCCCCCCCCCCCCGAACAGGGCAGGGCCAGCCUCUCAAACCGCACCUCUCACAACUGUCCGUCUCCAUCUUGCUCCCCAACACAAGCACUCAUCUGCUGGCUUCCUGAUUCCAUCCCACAACUAGCAGGGAAGCCCUAGUCCCACGUACGCAGGGACUGGCUCUGCUGCUCACCACUGCGUCACAGGUCCUAGAAAAAGGCCUGGAGCAAGGUGCAUGUUUAAUUUUUUUUAAUGUGUUGGAUGAGAAAUGAGGCACACUUACUCCCCUCUUUCAAACCUUCCUUUGGUCUCUACAACCUCCUGGGAGUCAGGCCCCCUGGGCACCAAUAUGCCCAAGCCAGCUACAAUCCCAGGGUUUCGCAGGACCAAGUCCAGACCAAUGCCCAGCACUGCCCCAGGACAGCUGGCAAGCUCAGGGCCUCAAUUAAUGCCCAGGA